UCCUCCAUGGUGCAAUGAUAGCGUAUUCGGCUGUUAACCCGUUGCAGUCAUCAAGGCGGGCCUGGGGUCAGGUAAGCCUUGACCGUCUGUAACGGCCUCGCCACCAGAAGGUUGUCAGUUCGAGCCUGACUUGGGGAG